rnacentral:misc_RNA from 1 species
UUCUUUUUUUUUUUUUUUUAAUUCAAUGAUGAUCUGAUCUAAUAGAUCUCUUACUGAAAAUUGAAGAUGAUGAUGCAAAAAUUAGCAGUUAACAUUCUUAUACCAUUCAUGAACAAGUAAAUAAAAAAUUUGGGGAAUAGAAAGUUAAACCUAAACAAAACUAAAUUAAACCAAGCAUUUGAACAAAUUUAAUAUUCAAUUAGAUUGCAAUAUUUGUUGGUUAAGAUUGCAAACCUAAAUAAUUUAGUGGUGGCAAGUGAAAUUAAACCAAAACUCUCAAUGCUUAUGCUCCAUGACUUACUCGCUAACUUCAUCCUACCUGAGCCCAAAUCCAACUCAUAUUACUAGGGACACCAUUAAGUCUUGACAAUUAAAUACUAGUGCUUUUAAUGUUCAUUACCAGAGGCACAUUUUUAGGAAUGACAUUUUCCUAAGCAUUUUAAAACAUAAAUCAGAAAUUGAGUUUUC